GAAGUAAGCCAGACAGCCGCUGGCUCUCGUUGCAAGACGGGAGCGGGAGGAAGGUCCGGACUCCAUAGAGCAGGGUGACGGCUAACGACCGUCCGCCGCGAGGCGAGGAAUAGGGCCACAGAGACGAGCGUAUUCAGUUACGGUGAAACGCGGUAACCUCCACCCGGAGCAAUUCCAAAUAGGCACGCAUUGAUGUGGCUCGCGGAGCGUGCGGGUAGGAAGCUUGAGCCGUGGAGUAAUUCACGGCCUAGAGGAAUGGCUGUCAUAGCGGGGCAACUCGCCGUAACAGAAUCCGGCCUAUCGGCUUGCUUCACUU
rnacentral:RNase_P_RNA from 1 species